GUUAUACUCCCUCCGUUCGGAAUUACUUGUCUCGAAAAUGGAUGUAUCUAGAACUAAAAUACGUCUAGAUACAUCCAUUUCCACGAUAAGUAAUUCCGAACGGAGGGAGUAGAUA
rnacentral:pre_miRNA from 1 species